AUCAUCCCCUUCUCACGGUGAAAGAAGAACCCCUUUUGUAACCUCUUCGGCGCCCUUCCCAGACCGAUCUCGGCGCUCAAAAUCUCGAUCGGUGUGCGAGGGAUCGUUUUCUUCGAUUUAGAUAUCUUAUUCUGUUCCUCCAGCAGCUGUGGUGGCAAUGGUGACUUCUCCCAACCAUCCAGAGCCAACAUUCACUUGCCUCCCACAAGCACCAGUAGUCCCAUUCCAUAGAUUGGUUCAUGAUAGAUCCAUUGCCAGGCCAUAUCUCAGCAGCCACACUCCUCUGACUUCCACCGCAGAUCUCUUGUGACUUGAAUGGCCUCGCGACAAAGCCAUGGAUGAGCGCGUGAUCGUGUGGGGCAGUGCACCGAAGGAAGUCGAAGGCAUCGUAAAGAACUGAAACGAGGAUCUCGAUGGGGGAGUCAUGGAGCCACAGGUUUGCUAACCUAACCCUAGCAUUUCUCCACGGAAGAGGAGAAUGGCUGUCGUCUAUUUGGCUCGAAAUAUCUGCUCCAUCGUUGUUCGUUAUCCUCUCGAAGAGAAACACCAUAGACAGGUUUGCUAGCUUCUUCUCUUCGAUUAAAGUUAGUCUCUCUCUCUCUCUC